AGAACGAACGCUGGCGGCAGGCUUAACACAUGCAAGUCGAGCGCCCAGCAAUGGGAGCGGCGGACGGGUGAGUAACACGUGGGAACAUGCCCUUUGGUACGGGACAACUCAGGGAAACUUGAGCUAAUACCGUAUGUGCCGGUAACGGGAAAGAUUUAUCGCCAAAGGAAUGGCCCGCGUCCGAUUAGCUAGUUGGUGAGGUAAUGGCUCACCAAGGCACCGAUCGGUAGCUGGUUUGAGAGAACGACCAGCCACACUGGGACUGAGACACGGCCCAGACUCCUACGGGAGGCAGCAGUGGGGAAUCUUGGACAAUGGGGGCAACCCUGAUCCAGCCAUGCCGCGUGAGUGAUGAAGGCCUUCGGGUUGUAAAACUCUUUACGACGGGGACAGUAAUGACGGUACCCGUAGAAGAAGCUCCGGCUAACUUCGCGCCAGCAGCCGC
rnacentral:rRNA from 1 species